UAUAUACAUGAACAUGCUACAUUUAGCUUUAAAGAAUUAAUAUCAACAUUGCAAUUAGGAGUAGCGAAUAGAGCGAUGAGCAAGUUGUAUAUGGAUGAUGACCUUAUUGUCGAGCCAUAUACUUUGUAUAUCCCAAUUUUAUAUCUUAGGGGUUCCUUUUAUCUGCACUACAAAUGGCAUUAGACGUUUCCUGUGUUGAAACUACAAUAAGUAUCAGCAAGAUGGUGUAUCAAACUGACAAAGAAUUGCAUGUUUUUCUUGAUAUCUAUGAUAAACAUGUGGUAGAUAGCUAGCUAUAAAGAAAUGCACGUUUUUCUUAAUAUCUAUUAAUACCCUGUGCUACCUAGCUAGCUGUAAAGAUAGGUCACUGUGUGCAUACCUCUGAAAUAGAAACAUACUUAGCUUCUCCUGCUAGCCAAGAAGAUACUUUUAUAACUGUUACUAUCUGAAUUGAUUUUUUACUACAUGCUUGAUUGUUUCAAGUCUACACCAAAAAAAAGACUAAACUGAACCAUGUUUGGUGCAAGAUAGAAGACCUAUAUAUACAUAAUCAGUUGUCGAGUAACUGAACUUCGUUGCUUGACCAGUACCUGACUAACUAAGCAACUUCAUACUUCUGAUAUCUCUAACCAGAUUCCGUUAGCUUAGUAGGAAAUUAUAUAAUUUUAAUUCCAGUGGUCAUACUUACUAUUUAAUUUCACCAUAUUAUGAUGGGGAAUUUUUUGAGGCUCUCCAUAGAGCUUCAUCCCGAGAUACUAUAAUUGUACUAUCCGUCAGAAUGAUUGUUCCUCAGCUUUCAAGUAUCUCAUGAUUUCUUUUUCUGAAUUGCAUGGGACUCCUGUCACAGUUACGGUUUCGUUUCUCAGUUAUAGAGAUAUAUACCUUGCAGUACUGAAGCUUUUGUAAGUGUGAGCAUAAGCCCUAUUGAUGUUGCAGCCAGUGAAAACAUUAUUGUUUACACUUCAGAUUUCCUAAUUCAGCAGGCCGGGUUGUGAAAACCCAGGAAUACUAUCACGUUUGAUUCAAAAAAUUCUAUGGAUUAGAAACACCUUUUCUUGUGUUACAUUUUGUGCAUUGCCAAAUGAGUGUACCACUACGAAGGCUAAGGAGCUCAUUCAUUGGAACAAGAGGUAAAAAUAACUGUACAUUCUGAGGUUAUAGUAUGUUUACUGGUUUCGGUAAGUAUUUUAUCAAGAUUAAGCAUCUUAUUAAAUGUUUUUUCCAUUAGUUUGUAUGCACCGCACAUUUUCUGAGUAACUUAUUGGGCAUUCGAGUUCAAAUGCAUCUAAUAUCACUUUUUUUACGGUAGUACAUGUGCUUUUAGACAUGUUUAUGCACUCUUAAUUGUCUAAUAUAAUUGUAGUGGACAUUCAUCUUUUGGUAAAUUGGAAUUCAGUUUUGAGUUUUUUCAUGAAAGAAUAUAGCCGCGGCUGUGAACCUUUAGCUAUCAGAAAUUCAGAAUACAUAUGCUCAGUUUUAGUGAAUAACUUAACCAUAUCAGGGACACCUAAUUCCCAAAAGUAAUAAAGCAUCCUUUAUCGAAAAAAAAUCAGGGACACCUAAAGGUUUUUUGUCCAUAUUGUAAUUUCUGUAGCCAAAGCAUAUAAGAUUGAUGAUCCACAUUUUCCUUGGCAUUUUGUGUAUACUGUUCAGAUAUCUAGGAUGUUCUCUCCAGUAUUCACAAACCAACUUUAUAUUCUUUAGUAUCACGCGAUGUCAAAUAGGCAGUGUACUGUCUUUUCUGAAUGUAAUGUUUUACAACUUACUUAUUUGUCUUUUAGGACAUAACAUAUGACAAUUGAACUAUUAUUUACUUUAGUUGUGCUUUUAUAUUCGAACCAUGCAGCUAUUAAGGGGGAGGCCACAAGGAGCCGUCGAUCAGUCCAAUUCAUUCUUGCCCGAAACAAGUGGGCUAUUCAUUCCGGUGCCACUUUUGUUCAAUCGAGUCCAUGUUCUCUAUUUCCCAAAACCCAUUCGUUCACCAACCCGUGGACCAGAGGUUGCUUGCUUGGAAUUGAGCUUUCUAGCUUUCUUUAGUACAAUCUUUUUGAGUACAUGACCGAAAAGUACAUAUCAGCGAUGAACAAAAGAACAUAAUAAAGAGAGAGAAAAACGAGAUAUCACCACCACUGGUCUAAACUGCGAACAAAAGCAAGAACCUAAAACCUAUGCUUCUAGGCUGAACCUUGCCGUUGCUCUCAUUCAGCCUGAAGAAAUUAAGAAACGACCCUUGCUGGCUUUAGCCCAAAGUCUCGCGUCAGUUUUGGUUUUAUCGACAAUUUGUUGGAUGGUCUUAAACUCUUUUCUGAAAACUCUACCAUUCCUCUCUUGCCAGAUCGCUCAAGUAGUAAGAAACACCAUUAUGUUCAAUCUUUUCUUCUCGGGUGACUGUAAGCUAUCUGGUUUGGGGCAGUUGGAUGUGCGUGCUUUUAGGAGCAUAUGACGAGUUGCCGUAUUUAUCUUCGGGGUGCAGCAAAUUGGGUCUGCAGGUGCAAGUUUAUCAGCUGCCCCGGAAUCUGGAUUGUCCCACAUGAAACAGAGGCUCGUGGAUGAGAUAUCUCAAAUCAAACCGCAGCACUUAACUAUUUCUCAAGCUGAUGCUCUGGUGGUUUAUGUGUACUGUGAUCUAAGAUCUUCAAUUUUGUCCUCAUCAUUGGAGGUGAUACCGUUUCAAUUGGCCCGCCUUUAUCUGCAUCACAUGGGAUUGGUGAUCGUUCUUUCAAUGGCAUUUCUAUUUUGUUAUUUCCUUUACAGCCAUACAAGUAAGAGCGCCCUUCAUAAAAAAUACAGCCAUACAAGUUAGUCCCCUCCCUUUUUUUGUAAGGAAGUUCUUCGAAUUAUAUGUCAGGUUUACUACAUAGGAAGUUCUUCGAGUCCCGUUGGUCAUGUCUGAUGUAGGCCACUUUAUUUUCUUUUCCCCACUUGUGUUUCUAGCAGGCCAACUGAUAUCCAGCACUAAAUCCCUCAACGACAAAGAAGAGCUCACUCCAGUUUGGUGCCUUACCACGCCAACCAAUCAAAGAGCUCAUCGUUCUCUCCUUUAACGACGACGAAGAAGACAAAGCCCAUAACGAAAAGCCCAAAGAAAAAGAAAUAGUGAUACCACCAGUUCUACUACUACCCUACACCACUUCUAUUAAGUUUGUCAUCAGAAAUAUGACCAUCUAUGGACUAAGAUAGUACUAUGAACUAUCUACAGUUUGCCAUGUACCGCGUCUGUAAGAUAGUACUAUGAACUAUGUAAUCGUCUCUGUAGCUCAUCCUUAUUUCAUAAAUGGUUUUGGCUCGCCA